UACGAAGGGGGCUAGCGUUGUUCGGAUUUACUGGGCGUAAAGCGCGUGUAGGCGGGUCGUUAAGUCGGGGGUGAAAGCCCAGAGCUCAACUCUGGAACUGCCUUCGAUACUGGCGAUCUGGACCCAUGGAGAGGCAAGUGGAAUUGCGAGUGUAGAGGUGAAAUUCGUAGAUAUUCGCAGGAACACCAGUGGCGAAGGCGACUUGCUGGACAUGUGGUGACGCUGAGACGCGAAAGCGUGGGGAGCAAACAGG
rnacentral:rRNA from 1 species